CUACAUGUUUUUUCUUUUUCUUUCUUCUUAUUGUAUAAAUCAAGGGCAUGUGUGAAUACGGUUGGCCAGAGCAGUUAGUGUGCACUCUGCUACUCACAGAAGGUUACUGGGGUCCAGGAAAUUUGGCAAGAACUUUGAGGACAUUUUAACGUAACAAUUGGUACAGAAAACGAAUGAAUUGAUUAACUGAUGAAACAAGUCAAGACAUGAAAUAUGAGAAAAUAAUUCCCGCCCAGUGUGUUACCAAGGAUAGCUGAAAGCCUUUGAUGUUACUGAGAGUACAUCGUGUGAAUUAUUAAACAGUAGUUCAAAUCUAGAAUGUUUUUAUGUAAUUAUAAGACUUGUUUAUGAGGAAGAUAAGGAAUUUUCAAAUAACAUUUUUAUGUGAAUUUAUCAUUUUUUAAUUUGGAGCUAUUGUCUAAAGAAAUUGCUCACGUGUCAGUAUGG
rnacentral:lncRNA from 1 species